AGAGAGACAAUGAGGAAAGAGCGGCAGAAGAAGAGAGACCAUGAGGAGGUAAGAGAGCAGCAGAGGAUGAGAGACUGAGGAAAGAGCAGCAAAAGAAGAGAUGAGGAGGUGAGAGAUCAGCAGAAUGAGAGGUGGUGGAGGUGAUACAGGCCAUGCACGGGGGGUUAGGUUACAGGCAUGCUACUGAGCAGUCUCGUUAGUCUCCAUGGCUUCUCAUGGUUAGAGUCUUCACCUCUAAGGCUUAUUUCACACGAGCGAUAUGGAGUCAGGAUCUGUUCAGGGAAAAACUGUUUCUCACAGUUCUGAUGGAUAUAGACUUACUUCCUGUAUUUGCGUCCCACCACAGACUUCCGGUUUUCAGCGCGCGGGUAUUUAGAGCGACGCUGAUUGCAUGCUGACAUGGACAGUCUUUUACCUACAUACAUCACAUUGCACGUGCAUUUACAGAGAUAUAUUACACCAUCAGUAUUGCCGUUAGCAGAAGAGCAGGUAUGGUAUACCGUGUCCACCAGAAUCGGAGCAUUGAGACCCUCUAACGAUGAACUGACAAGCUUUACAGUGGCCGCAAUCCCUCGUACAGUUCCUCCGUAUUCUGAGGAAGUGUCCCUUUGGGAUCCCCUUCUUUAGUGGGGUGGAAUGAUAACUC